CCUUGCCAGCCCGCUCAGAAACUCAAGGAAUUGACGGGGCCCGCACAAGCGGUGGAGUAUGUGGUUUAAUUCGAUGCAACGCGAAGAACCUUACCUGGUCUUGACAUCCCGGAGACCCUUAGGAAACUAGGGGGUGCUUCCAUCUGGAAGAAUCUGGAGACAGGUGCUGCAUGGCUGUCGUCAGCUCGUGUCGUGAGAUGUUGGGUUAAGUCCCGCAACGAGCGCAACCCUUGCCUUUAGUUGCCAGCAGUUCGGCUGGGCACUCUAAAGGGACUGCCGGUGUUAAACCGGAGGAAGGUGGGGAUGACGUCAAGUCCUCAUGGCCUUUAUGACCAGGGCUACACACGUACUACAAUGGCCGAUACAAAGGGCAGCGACACUGCGAGGUGAAGCCAAUCCCGUAAAAUCGGUCUCAGUCCGGAUUGGAGUCUGCAACUCGACUCCAUGAAGUUGGAAUCGCUAGUAAUCGUGGAUUCAGCAUGCCACGGUAGAAUACGUUCCCGGCCUU
rnacentral:rRNA from 1 species